rnacentral:hammerhead_ribozyme from 1 species
AUCCAGCUGACGAGUCCCAAAUAGGACCAAAUGCGCGUCCUGGAU